UCUCCGUUGGUGAACCAGCGGAGGGAUCAUUACCGAGUUUUUACGCUCCAAACCCCAUGUGAACCUAUACCUACGCCGUUGCUUCGGCGGGCUUUCAAGCCCCGGGCAGCCGCCUCCCCCCCCGACGCCCUCGCGCCUGGGAGGGGGAGGGCACCCGGAACCAGGCGCCCGCCGGAGGAUACAACCAAAAAAACUCUUGUGUUUUCCAAUGCAUGUCUGAGUGGAUUUUUGCAAAUCAAAAUGAAUCAAAACUUUCAACAACGGAUCUCUUGGUUCUGGCAUCGAUGAAGAACGCAGC
rnacentral:misc_RNA from 1 species